rnacentral:sRNA from 1 species
UCCAGGUAUUUGUGGUUUGUUGUAGUUAAGGCAGUGAAUCCCGCUAUGCGCAGGGGCUAUACGGAAAAACUUGUUAGUUACGAUUACACCUAUUGCGGGAUACUUCGUCCGUUGGGUAUCUCACCAGGAAGCACCUGGCACUGCCUUUUUUCCUUUAUUAUCCAAUUUAUUUCGUUUAUUACAUGG